CGCGGGGUGGAGCAGCACGGUAGCUCGUCGGGCUCAUAACCCGAAGGUC
rnacentral:tRNA from 1 species